CAUAUCUUCAUUGAGUGCUGAACAUAGUUGGUGCCACUUGUAUGCAGAUUGUGUCUCUUCUUUCAUUUUUUGCAAUUCAAAGGUGCAUUUCCUGGCUUACAUGUUACUCCAUUGAUGCUUCCCAAAUGAUCAACCUGGGCCACUUAAACAUACCGAAAAGGUCUGUGUCUUUUUAACGUGAAUAUAUUAUUCUGAGAUCCUUAAUCGUCUCUUAUUACUUUCCCUGAAUCACAUACAAAAGGUGGAUUAAAAUGAGGACGUUUGCAGCAUUUGAUCCUUGCAAAAUCUAAAAGAAAUUGAUCUGAACGGAACCUUCUGGGCUGAUGUUCUGGCAGGAAUUUAGUUAGCUAUCAGGUUUCAUGCUCCCGAAACAGUUGGAAACAAUUACUGGCUGAAAAUAACAUUUCAAAAUACAUACAUACUAAAAUGUGUAUUUAACUCUGUCUUGAGAUGUGCAUUUCUGUUAAUGCUGCAAAUUACUCUGCAAAUGGAAUGGAAGAAAUUCAUCCCUAGCUUAAAGAGAUUUCAGAAAAACCUCAAACGAAGAAGUAAAUUAGAUGACUCUAUAUGUGCAGUGAGAGCCAGCAUGGUGUACAACUCCAGAGACCAAGGUUCAAUUCUACACAUUCAGCCAUGGAAAUCCAUGAAGAAAUGGACUCUCAGCCCCAGAUAGGUUUGCCUUACAGUCACCAUAAUUUGGAAACAACCUGAAUGCACACAGCAACUGAUGUGUAAUGAGGGUGAAUUGUGCCACCAGAUAAAGGGUUUCUAAAAUCAUUAUUACUAUCACGGGCAAACAUUAACAAUUUUCCAGAGACAUGACAGUAGUCAUUUAGUAAGCAGUACAUUCUUUUAGGUAGUUAUGAACAGACCAGUGGCUUGGAAAUGACUAAGUACAUUUGCAGCUUCCUUUAUAGUAUUCUCACAACAGUUAAGAUUAGCAUCUGAACAAUUAAAUUUCCUUUGUUUGGUUUGGCUUACAGAAUUCUGGAGGAUCCAUCUUCCAGUUGCCCAGAUAAAGGGACGUGGUAGUGAUUUUCCAGGGAACCUCUUAUCUCUCCACAGAGAUUGGGAAUGUUGGCCCUGAGAUAUUUCUGGUAGGAUUUGUUGGACUGGGACACGUCUAUAGUAUGGUGUUGUUAAGCUAGGGCAGUAUAGUGGUUAACACAUUGGAUUAUAACUGUAGCGACAAGGGUUUGGAUCCUUGUUCAGUCAUGGAAAUCUACUGGGAGGCCAUGGACAAACAUACGUUCUUAGCUUCAAGGAAAGGCAAGGGCAAUUCUCCUCUGGAUAAAUCAUAAAAACAAAACCUGAGGAUAGGGUUGCUGUUAAUGUCAACUUGAAGGCAUCUAACAACAAAUAAUUAUAUUUUAUAUACUUUCAUGAUAUCCCAUUAAUGAUAGAUUCUAGUUUAUUUUUACUUUCCAUGUCAGUAAAGCAACCCUCUUACUCGAAAGUGAGACUUUUGCUUUGUAAUACAGGCUAGGCACAGUCCCUGACACAAGCCACCCCUCUGGAGAUCAUCACAAGGAAAGGGUGAUGGUGUUUCUCUGGAUAGAGGAUUGGGGCAAAUUGGACCCAAUCCAGUUGUCCAAAAAGCCUUUAAAUCUUGAGAUACUCUGAAUCUUUAAGUAAAACCUGAAGUAUCCCUCAGUUGUGUCUAAAACAAGGCAAAGUUGGUUCAAAGCUUUAAAAAAUCACAGAAUACGAACUAGAAGUCACUCUGUAUUAUUAUCGCACCUCAGGUUAACUUCACCUUGCUAAAGACACCAGGCUGCACACAGAUCGUAGUCUUUUGUAGUUUAUUAGGAAAUAAGGAAAGGAUAGUUCAUAAAAGGUAAAAGUUCAGUUCCAAAAGAUAGUUACAAAACAAGGCUGUAAGAACAAAUCCAUGGAAACAUUAGGCAUGAAGCAAGGUCCUUAAAACAAAGUCAAAGUCACAGAAACAAGGAUACAUCCAGGCUACAAGAUAAUACAGGAAAGCAAAUUUGGUUCUUGAUUCAAGCGAGGAAAUUGCUUUGACGAAGAUUUCCUUCUCAGCAGACUGUUUUAAUAGCAUAACAUGAAGGUAUUUCUUUGCCCUUUGACAUCCCUCUUAUUUGCUAUUCUGAGACUUCUGUGCAACCCCCGAAAUUCCAAACAACUAGCCCGAUCUAGAGAAGUGGCCUCAUCGCUUUCAAGGCCACAGGGCUCGUUAGUGUUAACAGGCAGAGGCUGGGAGCUACUCUCCUUUUCUGCUUCUUACACCUGAAAACCAUCAUCAAUAACAACAUUGGGUUGUUGCAUGGAUCCAUGCCUCACAGCCUCUGAGGAUGCCUGCCAUAGAUGUGGGUGAAACAUCAGGAGAUAAUACUUCUGGAACAUGGCCACACAGCCCGAUAGACAUACAACAACCCUGUGAUCCUGGCCAUGAAAGCUUUCAACAAUAACAACAUCAUUUCUUCCCGUGGGAAAGCCUCCCUGCUCCUCAUCUCCCACAGCAGGAACACUCUCCACCUGAAUCCCAUAAUUCCCAUCAGAGUCAUCUUGAAACUCAUCCUGAACCUGAAUCCCAUCAUCUUGAAACUGCAUCCCAGAAUCCUCAUCAGAGUCACAUAAAGGCUGAGUCACAACAAUUAUCACCACUUUGAGUCUCUUUUAAGAAGGAAAAGAUGUGACAUAGAUAAAUAUAAUAAAUAAAAAAAUCUCAUGAAGAUGGUCAGUGGUCCAUUUGUGAUGAGUACAGUUUGUUGGUCCAUGUAGACAGCCUCCUAUUUGUUGUGACAGGGAAGAGGACAAGGACAUUGUGAAACUAAAAACCAACAGUUGGCAUUGUAACCUAGCAUGGUACUCAUAUAAGCAAAACCUCCAGACUUUUCAUAAAAAGACAGGUCACAUCCUUUGAUGGUUAAGUGCCUUGCUUGUUGUUCCCUCCUAUCACCAUUGUCAAAAAGCAUAAGAGUUUAUGGAACUGACAUCUCAGGCAUGUCUCCGUACAGCUAGGCCCUUGGCAUGCUGGCGAAGUGACCAACCCGAUUUUGCAUUCCUCUUGUGAUAAGGUUAGGAGAGGUCCCUGGGAAGCACUCUCCUCCCAUCAUAAUCCUAGCCAUCUCUUCUGAAUCGAUGCAGCCCCCACCCAUAUGCCCUUUCUCUUCAUUGCGUGGCUUCAUCUAAUAUUUAUAAACACAAACAAUCAGGAGAACAAAAGAUGGCAGUGACCUACAGGGCCAACUGAGCAGUCUCUUGGCUUCCAGCCUAGAGGAGGAAGAUUUGACCUUUCAUCCUUCUCCUCCCCACAAACACACCCCAACCCUCCUCAGUUGGCAUUUUGAAUUAGCUGUCUUCUGCCUAGCAGAUGAUGCUCCCAUUUCAGGACACAGCUGAGGAGCUGAGUGCUCUGGAUGCAGCUUCUUUCACGUUGACUGCUGACAAAGCCCUUCUGGGUUACCUCCAGGGGAAGGCCAAGCUUACAUCUCAUGGUUUGUCUCCUUGACCUGAGUAGAAGUAGAACUUUGGAGGACAGUAGACUCAAGUUUAUUUCUUAAGUUACACAGAGGCCUUGUUCUCAUUGAAGUGGCCAUGGAUUCAUAAACCACUUCAAUGGUUCACCUGUGUCAAAAGUUUCUGGAGUGAUGCAAUGGUCCAGAUUAGUUCCAUGUGUUGAAGAAAUCAAACAGUAUCACCCCCUUGUCAUCCCAGAAGACAUUCACUAUGACCUUCUUUGCUGGAUACUGUCUUUGGAAUAUCUUUGACCUUGAACAGACGGAGUGCCACUAUCCCAUGGAUUGAUUCUUGGGACUUUAUCACAUCAAGCCACUGUUUUGGGACAGUCAAAUGAUUACCAAUAGUUGGUAAUAUACUGGAAUGAGCACCAUUUUAAUUGCAAGUCUCUAUUCACACAGCGGUGCCAUUUCACCAGUCCAGGGCCCUGUGUUUGCAGUUCUGCGUAACCUCAUAAAUUCUCCAUACCACCUCCACUGCUCCAUAAUUCUAAAAAAUUAAAGUAAUUUUGCAAUUACAAUUGAGGCUAUUUUUUCAAAUAAUACUUAUUUUAAAAAGACAAAGUAGGGAAAGUAGGGAAAGUGUGAGAGGAGGAGAAUCUCAUCCUCUGGUGUCAGCAUCGCACUAGGUAAGGGUUGAGAACAUGACAUCGUUAGCACCUCUUAAUGUGUUUCCCCAUUAAUAAAGAAAGAAGAGUCUAUCACAGGGAAGAGACAGACCAGCAAUGGGGAUACUCACAGUCACACCAGUUUAUUUAUUUAUUUAUUUAUUUAAAGUAUUUAUAUUCCGCUCUUCUCACCCGAAGGGGACUCAGGGUAGAUUACAAUGAACAUAUAUAUGGCAAACAUUCAAUGCCACCAGACAAACAACAUACAGUAUAGACACACACAGAGGCAAUUUAACAUUUCUAGCUUCAUGAGGGCAUGCCUGAUUCCGGCCACAGGGGGAGCUGUUGCUUCACCAUCCACUAGUGACACCGAGUACUGUACUUCCUCAUUCCUUUCUUGUGCUGCUGGCAGUUUUAUGGUGUUGUAAAUUAGUUAAAUUAGCCUCCUGCUUAAAGUGUACCUAAAUUUCCUAGUUGACAUAUGCAACUGUCUUUCGGGCUGCUUAGGUAAACAGCAAGCUGAGCUAUUUUAUGGUCGAGGGCUUAACCCAACCCGGGCUUCGAACUCAUGACCUCUCGGUCAGUAGUGAUUUAUUGCAGCUGGCAACUAACCAGCUGGUUUUCUUUCUUCAUGUGAUAAUAUCCUUGGUCUCUGAGUCAUACAGGUAUUGUCAAGUCUCGUCACCUGUGCUUACAUUGCAUUGCUCCGGAAUGUUUGAGAAGUCAUCCACAAGAAAAGACUACAGAAAUAUCUGAAAGCGAUCCACUUACAUCGGGAUAAUACCUGACCCCAAACUUCUUUGCUUUAUUUGCUGCAGACACACUGUUUACACAACAGUAAACUGAAUAUAAAUGUUAGACCAAGGCCCAAAAAGUACAAAUGCAAAAGAAAUGUAUGUGUGCAUAAAACACUAGCAGGAUUUCAGCCUUUGAGUAGUGUUUCUUGUGAAAGAUAAGAUAUCCUCGCCACUUGUAAUGGUGGAACAAUCUCAUAUUUAGUAUGAGGAUAACACCACGUGCAUUUUCAGAGAUCUUAGGAUGCAUCUAUACUAUAGAAUUAAUGCAGUUUGACAGCACUUUGACAGUCAUGGUUCAAUACUAUGGAAUCAUGGGAGUUACAAGGUUUUUAGCCUUCUCUGCCAAAGAGUGCUGGUGCCUCAGCAAACUACAAAUGCCAGAAAUCCAUAGCUUUAAACCUUGACAGCCAAAGUGGUGUCAAACUGCAUUAAUCCUGCAGUUGUAGAUGCACCCUUACUGGAAUACUGGCAUAGCCCCAGUUAUUUGCACUUUCCAGACCAGUCUGUCAAUUUGUGCUGUAGAACAGCUGUAGAUGAGCAACAUUUUUGGGUAUUUUUCUAUAUUUGGCUUCUUCAAGUAUCUAAAGGGAAUGAGUGAUGGACUUAAUCUCUGAUGCUACAAAGGUCCCUGGGGCUACCAAUGUCUUUUCCUCCGAUUUCUCAGCUGUCAGAGAGUGCAAACAUCCCAUUAAUGUUCCAGCUGAUUCUGGAGAUAUCAGCUCCAGGUGAUUGGCAAAAAGAAGUGGAGAUAUCAGAUGUCAUUUAAUAACAGCUGUGAGGGUCACAGUUUUAGGUGGUGGCACAGAUUCACAUAUUGGGAGUGUGGGGGAAAUGACAAUAGAGAGAGACGCUGAUGCGUCUGCCAAGUAGGAAAGCAAAGCAAGUCAGAAAACUAAACAUAGAAUCAUAGAGUUGGAAGGGAUCCCCAAAGGCCAUCCUGUCCAACCCCCUUCUGUCAUGCAGGAGCACACAAUCCAAGCACUCCUGACAGAUGCUCAUCCAGCCGCUGUCUAAAAACCUCCAGAGAAGGAGGCCUUUCUAGUGGAAGGCGAAGUCCUUCCAUCUUCUCAAUGUAGAAGUGAUCAACACAAGUUUCUUUUUUCAGGAUCAGAAAUCUCCAGGCAGCAUAUUCCACUUUUAAACAACUCUUUGCCAGCAAUAUUUUUCCCCCUUAUGUUUAGCUGGAAUCUCUUGAGAUUCAUUGGGAUUUAGGAGAUCCAGUUUCUAGUUUCCACUCAGCAGUGAUAUUCAUUGGCUGGUAAUUAGCAUGUCAAAGUUGCACUAUGCAUACACCAUCCAUUGUUUGCUAUAGCACAGCAGUGUGUUUUACUGACAGCAGCAGAAGUAGAGGUACGUACAUCUAUAGCCCCUUCCACACAGCUGAAUAAAAUCCCACAUUAUUUGCUUUGAACUAGAAUAUGUGGCAUUGUGGACUCAGAUAUCCCAGUUCAAAGUAAAUAUUGUGGGACUUUCUGCCUUGAUAUUCUGGGUUAUAUGACUGUGUGGAAGAGCCCUAUGUCACAAAUUGUGCAUUGUUUGAUGUACAUUUAUCUCGUGCCACAUUGACUGUGGACAAUGCAAGAUAUAACUUGGCACAUUUAGAAUCUUUGUGUGUGUGUGUGUGUGUGUGUGUCAGGAGCGAUUUAAGAAACUGCAGCUCACUUCUGGUGUGAGAGAAUUGGCUGUCUGCAAGGAUGUUACCCAGGGGACGUCUGGAUGUUUGAUGUUUUACCAUCCUGUGGGAGACUUCUCUCAUAUCUCUGCAUGGGGAGCUAGAGCUUAGAGAGGGAGCUAACCCACUCUCCCAGAUUAGAACCUCCAACCUGUUGGUCAGCAGUCCCGUUGGCACAAGGGUUUAUCUCAUUUUGUCACAGAGGGCUCCAUUUGGAAUCUGCUCCCGUUUGUGAAAGUUUAAAAGCAGGAAAGAUCAAAAUUGUUGUUCCGGGGAUAAUGCAUUGCAUCAAAGAAUCCUAAAGUCAUAAGACACCCCACUGGUCAUCCAGUCCAGUCCCAUUCUGACAGAUAGAAAGACACAACUUAAGCCCUUCGGACUGAUGGUAAUUUUUAAAGCCUCCGAAGGAGGAGACUCUAUCAGACUUCCAAGCAGCAGCAAAUUCCACGGUUAGAUAGCUCUUACCAUGAGGAGGUUCCUCCUAAUGUUUGGGUGGAAUCCCUUUUCCCAUACUUGGAAUCCAUUGGUCUAUAUCCCAGAAUAUCUAGGACCAGUCUGGCACCCAAAUGCUCUGGAAUGGCUGCAGAGACUACGAAGGUGUUAUGAGACACCACAAUGAUGAGGCAAAGUCCAGCCCGUCCAGCCAAGCUAAAACCAAUUCAGCCUGGCUGGACUCUCACCCUGACCUUCCCUGUCACUUACUUUAUCAUGGCAGACAACCAGAAAGCUCUGGAAGUGCCUGGCGAAGACCAGGAAGUUUUGCUUACAACAACCAAGAGUUUUCUAGAGCUCUUAUUUAUUUUUUAUUUAUUUAUUUACAGUAUUUAUAUUCCGCCCUUCUCACCCCGAAGGGGACUCAGGGUGGAUUACAAUGAACACAUAUAUGGCAAACAUUCAAUGCCAACAGACAAACAACAUAUAUAGACAGACACAGAGGCAUUUAACAUUUUUUUCCAGCUUCAUGAUUCCGGCCACAGGGGGAGCUGUUGCUUCACUGUCCACUAGUGGCUGUACUUCCUCAUUCCUUUCCUCGUGUUUUGCUGGCAGUUUUAUGAUGUUGUAAAUUAGUUAAAUUAGCCUCCCGCAUAAAGCGUACCUAAAUUUCCCUACUUGACAGAUGCAACUGUCUUUCAGGGCUGCAUAGGUCAACAGCAAGCCAGGCUAUUUAAUGGUCGGGGGCUUAACCCGACCCAGGCUUCGAACUCAUGACCUCUCAGUCAGUAGUGAUUUAUUGCAGCUGGUUACUAGCCAGCUGCGCCACAGCCCGGCUCUUCAAUCCCCUGCCAUGAUGUUGGGAGGCAACAUGACCCCAAGCCAUCCCCUUUUCACUGUGUUGCCAAGCAAACUAAUUUGCAUUGAGCUGGUCCACAAUCUUUCCAAAGUAAAGUCUCAAACAUUCUUCGACUUUCUUAAUGCAGGUCUAAAUUGGUCCAGCCUAGUUUGCCCCUUAUUAAGGACCAGAAGUUCCUGGAUAUCAUUUGGACAUCCAAGAGUGGCUUCUGGACAAAUAUCACUUUAGACGAGCCUCUAGUCUCUGGAGCAGCAGAGAACAACCUUUCUCCAUCUUCAAGAUGGCAUCCUUUCAAAUAUUUCAACAUGGCAAUUAGAUCAAAUUGGCUCCCCCUAAUUUUGUUUAUCCCUUCUGUUUUAAUGUCUUUAGUUUUGAUGAUUCUGGUUGCCUGGCUUCAUUCCUUGAGAUUUAUCUCACAUGGAGUUUCAGAAUUUAUCUCACAUGGAGUUUCAAACCACAGGAAAAGUGGCUUGAACUAUUUAUAAAUAAAAGGCCAUUCCCGUGGAAGGCGAAGUCCUUCCAUCUUCGCAAUGUAGGAGUGUUCAACACAGGUUUCUUUUUUCAGGAUCAGGAAUCUGGCAGGGCCUGGAUUGCCAAUAGUCAGGUUUGAUUGCUGCGUGGGCUGAAGGAACGGAUUGAUUUUCUGAGAUCUUUAUUUUAUGAAUGCCCACAAGCUCCACCUCCACAAAAUCGUUGUCUCCAUGGUAACAAAAUUAAGUUUAAAAAUGGGCAGACUCCCAAUUUAAAACUGGUAGGGAGGAAACUGGGAAUGAAACCAAGGAAGAGGGUGGCAGUCUCCUGAAUGAUACAAGCACCGGGGGUGAGAAAGGAGGCUAUCGGAGGCAAGGGUUUGGAUGCAUUUCAGGCUGAGCCUUCGGGUGGGAGAAGGUCUCCUCGUAUGGAAGGUCUCUCUGUCUGAACGCUGACGGUCCCCUCCCUCCACAGCUCCGCUUACACCCCCGUCAUCAGUUUCAUAAUAGCUACUGUGACCAAAAUCUUGUUGAUGUCUUAUUCAUUUGCAAAAGCUGUUGGACCUUUCUCUUCAUUGUGGAAUGGCUGCACUGAGCCUGAGUUUGCAGAAAGAGAGAUUUGCAGAUGCUGCCUUAGCAACUGUAAUGGCAAGUGGAAGUUGUAUUGAAGCACCCCCUGAUGCCAUUUUGGGAAAGAGGCUGGUUAAAAAGGAAGCCUUUGGUGGGAGGUUAAUAAUAAUGAUAAUAAAUCUUUAUUUAUAUCCCGCCAACAUCUCCCCACAGGGACUCGGGGCAGCUUCCAUGGGGCAAAUCCCGACGACAUAAUAAAAUAAAAUAAACAACAACAUAAACACAAUUUACAGUAUAAAAGAUAAAAACAGUAAUACAAUAUAGAACAAGGAUUUUAUAACAAUAGUUAAUAAUAUCAGUCAACCACCAGUCACAGUUCUAUCAUCUCCAUGGGUAGGAAAACUAAGGCAGCAAUGUAAAAUAAAAUGAUGAUUAAAGUGCAUAGAAGGUAAGGACCUAAUAAAAUAGAUAGGAUAGAGGAUAGGAUAAAGAAUAGAUUUUUAAUACCAUCUGGAGCUGGUUAUCUAAUGACUGUCUCACCAAAAGCCAACCUGAACAUCCAGGUUGUUGCACCUCAGGCUAGCUUCACCUUGCUAUAUACACCAAACUGCACACAAGUUAAAGUCUUUUUAGUUUAUUAGAAAAUAAAAGAUAAAAAAGUUCUUAAAAAGCAAAAGUAAAGUUCCAAAAGUUCGUUACAAAAUAAAACCUUAGAGAAUAAUUCAGGAAAUCACAAGGAAUGAACAAAGUCCCAUUAGAGCAUGACAAAGUCCCAGGAACAUGAACACAUAGGCUGCAAGAUAAUCCAGGAAAAUGAGAGCUUACUUCUUGGUUGAACGAAAAGUUGCUUUGACAAAGGUUUGUCUCCAAACACACUGCUUUAAUACCCUUUGCAAAACAUAAAAGCAUUUCUCUGGCUUCUAACCUGCCUCUCUCUUGCAAUUCUCACACUCUUCCGAACCCUGAAUUCCAAACGGUCAGCUCGAUCUAAGGGGCCCGUUUCGUCAAGGUCAGCCUGCUCGUUAGUUUGCUGAGCCUCGCUAUCAGAUUGAGAACUGUCCUCCUUUUCUAAGUCAAUUUGCACCUGGCUAGUUUCAGUAUCUUCAACACCAUUCCUUGCUGUGGGAAAAUGAACUUGCACUCUCUGUUCCUCAUCUUCUACAACAGGGACAUUUUGAACCUGAUUUUGAACUUGAAUUCCAUCAUCCUCAUCAGAGUCAAUCUGAGGUUCCAGCUGAGGUCUUUAGUUGUUUCCUGAAGGAGGAUAGGGAGGGAGCCAAUCUAAUCUUCCAGACCUGGGGGGCCACAGCCGAGAAGGCCCUAUCUCUCAUCCCCACCAGACGUAACUGUGAGGAAGAUGGAAGUGAGAGGAGGGCUUCCAUGGAAGAUAUUAGAGAUCGUGUAGGUUCAUAGGGGAGGAGGCGGUCGUGAAGGUAGAUAGGUCCCGAAUCGUUUAGAGCUUUAUAUGUAAUGACUUGCACCUUGAAUUGGGCCCAGAAUAUUAUCGGCAGGUUGGCGGAGGUCGGCAGGUAGGGCUUUUUGUGCAUUUUUGUUCAUUUGGAGGUCAGUUGUUUUAGGAAGAGGUCUCAAUUCCCAACAACUUCCAACAUUAUUAAAAAUGGGAAAGAGAUUAAGGAGCUUUGAGGGACCAGCAGAGGAUUUAUGGCAGCCCAAAUGGGGUCCAGGAACUGCACAUGUCUUUUGGGCAGCACCCUCUCUGCUUCUACUCUAGGAAGUAAGUAAAGUAAGUAACUUUAUUUUUCUACCCCGCCACCAUCUCCCCGCAGGGACUCGGGGCAGCUAACACGGGACAACGGCCUGAAAACAGUAAACAAGUACUACAAUUAAAACAUAUUACAAUAAAUAAAACACAGUAAAAUCACAUUAUGCAAACAAUACAUUACAUUAAGCAUAAAAGCCCAUUAAACAUAAAGUAGGUAAAAGUGAAAUAAAAUAAAAUAAAAUAAAAUAAACCACCAGGUUGGUGGAGGGGGAUAGUAUGGAGUGGCUAAAUUGAACUAAAGUGCCAUAGUAAAGUUAUAAAGUGCUUUGGGGCAGAGGACAAAGUGCAACUAUUUCUUGACCGUUGGGUGGGGAUAGAAGUCCAAUUUAUUAUAAGAACUGAGAAUGAUGCAGAAGAAUAUGUAAGUUAAUUUUGGUCAUGGGGUGUAAUUACCACAAGUCUGUCUGUGUCUUCCUUUCUUUAUGAACUCAUCUAUAUUGAGCAUAUAAUGCAGUUUGAUGCUAGCUUUUAACUGCAGCAUCAUGCCAUCAAAGUCCAUUAAGAGAAUAAAGCUCAUCAAGAAAAGUUGGGCAAAAGUCCAAAAUGAGUUCCUGAAUGUCCUGCAGCACAACUGCAGUGGAAACCACAUGGCAGAAUGAUAUUGGGUGCACAGAAUGUGAAGCAAAUUGUAGACACCCAAAACACUGAUGUGUAUUGUAAAAUCGGGGGUGGGUGGGAUGUGUAAUGAAAAAUCCCCAAGAGAAUAUCUGGGCAACAGGUGGCCAACUGACCCCUCGGAGCAGGUAAUGAAAUACCUCUGCUGCUAGCUUUCGCUUUCCUCUUCUUUCUUCUUCCUCAUAUGUCUCUGGACCGCAUAUGUGCAUCUUGUCUGGAAAUGGAAAAGAAAUCUCUGGUAGCUAUCAACCUUCUGUAGAAAAUGUAAUCACUGUCCUGGCCUCAAACCUGUUCCAAAAAUGGCAAUCUAUUCAUCCUUACAGCAAAAUUGGUUUCUGCCCAAAAUUUUCCAAACCAAGCUUCUGUAUUUCACCAUAUAGUAGUUGCAUUUUCCCCCCUUUCCCCUUCAAAAAAACGGGGUGCCACUAUUAUGCGGCAAAUCCAGUUUCUGUCAAACCAGUUCUAAUCCAAACUACAGUAAGUGGUCAGUGUAGAUGAGCCCUCCCUUCUUAAUCAUGUCCAACCAGCCACAAGGCCAAGCCAAUGCCAGGAGAUGUCAUGUAGGUAAAGGUAAAGGUUUUCUCUUGACAUUAAUUCUAGUUGUGUCCAACUCUGGGGGUUGGUGCUCAUCUCCAUUCUGAGUUAAAGAGCUGGCGUUGUCUGUAGGCACUUCCAAAGUCAUGUGGCUGGCAUGAUUGCAUAGAGCGCUGUUACCUUCUUGCCAAAGCAGUACCUAUUGAUCUACUUGUUGUGGUAAUCUCUGAGUGGUUAGACUCAAUUUAACCCUCUCUGGGGGAGAUUCCACCAAAAUCAGCAGAGUAGCAAAAGCAAAGCUUUCAAAUGCAACAGUUACUUACACGGGGCGAGCAAAGAGAAGCCUUUGACCAUUUAGGAUUGCAAUGGAUUGCAGAGUCUCAUUAAAAGUUCAAAAAAAUGUAUUUAUUCAGGUAAAAAGAACUCCAUUGUUGAUAGAAAGGCUUGGGAGCUGUCUAGUCUACUCUAGAGUGGCUUCUAAGGAAAAAUAAGAAAGGAAAAAUAACAAACAUCUAAAUAGUUACAUCUUGCCAGGAGGGAUGGCAGGACGUGUUGUUAGCUUGAAGAACAAAGGGAGAAGAAAGAACCAAAAUGGUUCCAACCUCAUGGUCCAGUUUAUUGGGGCCAUAAAAGACAUUCUGGAGAUUCACAUUUCUACUAACUUCAAAGUAAGGGAUGUGACGUACACAGGAUAGAGUGAAACACAGUAAAGCCUAUCUAGGCAUGCUUUGGAAACAGGGAAAGGAUUCCCUCAAUCUAACUCUAUCAUCUAUCUAACUACAUCUAGACUUGAGUAGUCCAGGAUGAUUCCCAACACUACUAACAUUUGCAUGUUUUUGAACUGCUAGGUUGGCAGAAGCUGGGGCUAACAGCAGGAGCUCAUCCCGCUCCCCAGAUUUGAACCGACAACUUUUCGGUCAGCAAGUUCAGCCACUCAGCAGUUUAACCCACUGUGCCACCAAGUAAUGAGCACAAAAUACUGAAUUAAUUUAGGGGGGG